GGGCUCGUAGCUCAGCAGCAGAGCGCACCGUUCGCAACGGUGAGGCCGCGGGUUCAAAUCCCGCCGAGUCCA
rnacentral:tRNA from 1 species